rnacentral:rRNA from 1 species
AGUGAACGCUGGCGGUAGGCCUAACACAUGCAAGUCGAACGGCAGCACAGUAAGAGCUUGCUCUUACGGGUGGCGAGUGGCGGACGGGUGAGGAAUACAUCGGAAUCUACUUUUUCGUGGGGGAUAACGUAGGGAAACUUACGCUAAUACCGCAUACGACCUACGGGUGAAAGCAGGGGAUCUUCGGACCUUGCGCGAUUGAAUGAGCCGAUGUCGGAUUAGCUAGUUGGCGGGGUAAAGGCCCACCAAGGCGACGAUCCGUAGCUGGUCUGAGAGGAUGAUCGGCAACAAGGAAACGGAGACACGGCCCAGACACCGAGGGGAGGCAGAGGUGGGGAAUAUGGGAAAAGGGGGGAAAGACGGAACAAGCAAUACGGGGGGGGGGAAGAAGGCCUUGGGUUGGAAAGACCUUUUUGUGGGAAAAAAAAAGCGGAGGGUAAAACCCCGCCUGUUGUGACGGUACCAAAUAAAAAAGACCCGGCUAACUUCGUG